rnacentral:rRNA from 1 species
AACGAACGCUGGCGGCAUGCCUAACACAUGCAAGUCGAACGAGACCUUCGGGUCUAGUGGCGCACGGGUGCGUAACGCGUGGGAACCUGCCCUUAGGUUCGGAAUAACUCCCCGAAAGGGGUGCUAAUACCGGAUAAUGUCUUCGGACCAAAGAUUUAUGGCCUUUGGAUGGGCCCGCGUUGGAUUAGCUAGUUGGUAGGGUAAAAGCCUACCAAGGCGACGAUCCAUAGCUGGUCUGAGAGGAUGAUCAGCCACACUGGGACUGAGACACGGCCCAGACUCCUACGGGAUGCAGCAGUGGGGGAUAUUGGACAAUGGGCGAAAGCCUGAUCCAGCAAUGCCGCGUGAGUGAUGAAGGCCUUAGGGUUGUAAAGCUCUUUUACCCGGGAUGAUAAUGACAGUACCGGAAGAAUAAGCUCCGGCUAACUCCGUG